UGAGAUAUAGAGAAGAAAAUAUUUUAGAGGAGUUUGUAAAGGAGGGGAUGUAGAGGAUAUGAGAGGGGAUAUAGAGGAUGUGGUGUAUCCUUCUCAAUGGAUGCCAAUUGGUACUUGAUAGUGAAUGUAUGGGUCUGUUUGGUUUAGCUUUUUUCUUAGGAUCUUUUUUGAGAAUAUAGCUGUGAGGAGAGAAUUUGGCUGUGGAGAUAAUCUGAGUAUUGUGGAGAUUACGUGAGGAGGAAGAUAAAAAAAAAUCAUAAGAUUUAUGAUGUAGAAAGUGACAGUUUUCUACUAUCGCAACGACUCGACCGAUUCUGUGUUCACGUUGAUUUUACACGGUUUUGUCUAAAGUGAUUUUCAUAAAAGCGGGUUGAGCGUUUAGCCGACUGCAACAGCUUCUAGUGGUCAGAAGCUCAAAACAGCUUAAACAAAUAGGGUCUAUGUUGGAAAGUGAGAAUCUACCAUUCUGCUUAUGGACUCCACCAGGAGCGGGAGAGAGAUGGCGCGAUUGGCGAACGGAGGAUGUAGAUGCAGAGGUUUGUCGCAUGUCUGUAAAUUGUACAUGAAAGGUGGUAGAUUUUGAUUGGAAUUUUGUAGGGCGUAGCAUAUCAGGUGUUCGUAUCCAAUCUAAUUUGCUUUCUGUGUGAAGUGGAAAACAUCAAAGAAAUUGUAAAAAACAGAGAAUUAUUUUUUUUAUGUAAAUGAGCAUUCUCGUUGAACUUUAACCCCAUUUGUUGUUAAUGAGGAUGGGGCGCUAUUGGGUUUGGGUAGCUGUUUUCUGCGUCGUAGAAUUGUUUAUUUUACAAAUAACAUGCCAGUAGUAGCGUUGAUCUACGGUUCUGAGCUACCUUUUGGUGGAAUGAUUUGAGAGAUCCAUUUCGUUGUAUAGUUAUUUGAUUUAAGGAUGCAUUUGCAGAGACACUGAAUGUUAGAUAGCCAAGAUUAUGAUCAUUUAGCCCAUCCUAAUCCCAGGUCCUACGAGGCCGAGGCACACCUUUCUGCUGAUCUGAAGCUACUAACCUCCAAAUAUAUUUAUCCAAAGCGUUCGCAUUCGAUGGCGCGUCUGCGUCACCGUGCAUGAAGCUGACCUGCCUCAUCAGUCAUCAAAGUUGCUGCUUCUCUCCGGUCAUUUUCCUGUAAUACGUUCGCAUUGAACCUGCAAUGAUUGACAAGAUUUUUUUCCCGCCC
rnacentral:lncRNA from 1 species